rnacentral:rRNA from 1 species
ACUCAAAUGAAUUGACGGGGGCCCGCACAAGCGGUGGAGCAUGUGGUUUAAUUCGAUGCAACGCGAAGAACCUUACCUGGGUUUGACAUCUACUGGAAGACUGCCAGAAAUGGCGUCGCCUUCGGGCCGGUAGACAGGUGCUGCAUGGCUGUCGUCAGCUCGUGUCGUGAGAUGUUGGGUUAAGUCCCGCAACGAGCGCAACCCUUGCCUUUAGUUGCCAGCAUUUAGUUGGGCACUCUAAAGGGACUGCCUACGUUAAGUAGGAGGAAGGUGGGGAUGACGUCAAGUCCUCAUGGCCCUUAUAUCCAGGGCUACACACGUGCUACAAUGGUCGGUACAGAGGGAAGCAAAACCGAGAGGGUGAGCAAAUCCCAAAAAGCCGAUCUAAGUUCGGAUUGAGGUCUGCAACUCGACCUCAUGAAGCUGGAAUCGCUAGUAAUCGUGGAUCAGAACGCCACGGUGAAUACGUUCCCGGGCCUUGUACACACCGCCCGU